rnacentral:rRNA from 1 species
CAGCAGCAGCCGCGGUAAUACGAAGGGUGCAAGCGUUAAUCGGAAUUACUGGGCGUAAAGCGUGCGUAGGCGGUUUGUUAAGUCUGCUGUGAAAUCCCCGGGCUCAACCUGGGAAUGGCAGUGGAUACUGGCAAGCUAGAGUGUGUCAGAGGAUGGUGGAAUUCCCGGUGUAGCGGUGAAAUGCGUAGAGAUCGGGAGGAACAUCAGUGGCGAAGGCGGCCAUCUGGGACAACACUGACGCUGAGGCACGAAAGCGUGGGGAGCAAACAGGAUUAGAUACCCCAGUAGUCCCUGUCUCUUAUAC